CCCUUAGAUGUUCUGGGCCGCACGCGUGCUACACUGAGUGGAUCAGCGGGUCAGGUUGCGCGAAAGUGUUUCCUAAUCUUGAAAUCCGCUCGUGAUGGGGAUUGACGGUUGCAAUUUUCCGUCAUGAACGAGGAAUACCUUGUAAGCGCGGGUCAUCAUCCCGCGCUGAAUACGUCCCUGCCCUUUGUACACACCGCCCGUCGCUCCUACCGAUUGAAUGAUCCGAUGAAUAUCAUGGAUUGAGGAUGCAAGUAGGUUCGCCUAUCUUCAUCUUCGAGAAGUGAAGUAAAUCUUAUCAUUUAGAGGAAGGAGAAGUCGUAACA
rnacentral:rRNA from 1 species